rnacentral:rRNA from 1 species
AGUGAACGCUGGCGGUAGGCCUAACACAUGCAAGUCGAACGGCAGCACAGUAAGAGCUUGCUCUUACGGGUGGCGAGUGGCGGACGGGUGAGGAAUACAUCGGAAUCUACUUUUUCGUGGGGGAUAACGUAGGGAAACUUACGCUAAUACCGCAUACGACCUACGGGUGAAAGUAGGGGAUCUUCGGACCUUGCGCGAUUGAAUGAGCCGAUGUCGGAUUAGCUAGUUGGCGGGGUAAAGGCCCACCAAGGCGACGAUCCGUAGCUGGUCUGAGAGGAUGAUCAGCCACACUGGAACUGAGACACGGUCCAGACACCUACGGGAGGCAGCAGUGGGGAAUAUUGGACAAUGGGCGCAAGCCUGAUCCAGCCAUACCGCGUGGGUGAAGAAGGCCUUCGGGUUGUAAAGCCCUUUUGUUGGGAAAGAAAAGCAGCAGGUUAAUACCCCGCUGUUCUGACGGUACCCAAAGAAUAAGCACCGGCUAACUUCGUG